UCCCUGGUGGCUCAGAGGUUAAAGCGUCUGCCUGGAAUUCGGAAGACCUGGGUUCAAUCCCUGGGUAGGGAA
rnacentral:tRNA from 1 species